UUAGGUAUGUGAUAUACUGGUUGCAGCAAACAAGUUAAGAUGGUGGCUAUCCUGAGUGGAGGUGGUGCUUAUGGUGUUAAAACUGUAAACCCAGAUUCUAGGAAAGGAGAUGCCUAGUGUCCGUUUCGGAUACUUUACAGCUAAUGAUUGGUUUUGGGACAUUUGUCUUGAUGCUGGUUGGAUUAGUU
rfam:Leuconostoc pseudomesenteroides PS12 contig_034, whole genome shotgun sequence.